rnacentral:rRNA from 1 species
UAGGGGAUCGCAAGACCUUGCGCUAAAGGAGCGGCCGAUGUCUGAUUAGUUAGUUGGUGGGGUAAAGGCUUACCAAGGCAACGAUCAGUAGUUGGUCUGAGAGGACGACCAACCACACUGGGACUGAGACACGGCCCAGACUCCUACGGGAGGCAGCAGUGGGGAAUUUUGGACAAUGGGCGAAAGCCUGAUCCAGCCAUGCCGCGUGAAUGAAGAAGGCCUUCGGGUUGUAAAGCUCUUUUAGUCGGAAAGAAAGAGUUGCAAUGAAUAAUUGUGAUUCAUGACGGUACCGACAGAAAAAGCACCGGCUAACUACGUGCCAGCAGCCGCGGUAAUACGUAGGGUGCGAGCGUUAAUCGGAAUUACUGGGCGUAAAGGGUGC